GACAGAGGUGCCGAGCGUUAGGCGGAAUCACUGGGCUUAAAGCGUGUGUAGGCGGACUCGUAAGUGCUUUGUGAAAUCCCACGGCUCACCCGUGGAACUGCUUGGCAUACUGCGAGCCUUGAGCCACUUAUGGGCAACCGGAACAAACGGUGGAGCGGUGAAAUGCGUAGAUAUCGUAAGGAAGACCAGUGGCGAAGGCGGGUCUCUGGACAGUUCCUGACGCUGAGGCACGAAGGCCAGGGGAGCAAACGGG
rnacentral:rRNA from 1 species